GUUUUUAUAGUUUAAUUAAAACAUUACACUGAAAAUGUAAAAAUAAAGUAAUUAAAAACA
rnacentral:tRNA from 1 species